AUACGUACCUGGCAGGGGCAGUACCAUGAUCAUGAUCAUGGUUUUCCCAGGGUGAGGCUUGUCCAUUGUACUCCGGAUGUGACGACCCCUGUGAUUUCCCCAAAUGUGGAAAACUCCACUGUAUAAUCUGUGCUGAGGGACUGCAUUUGUACUCUAACCUG
ensembl:snRNA LOC120094916 U1 spliceosomal RNA